AGCACAUGUGCCUGGGGACCCUCCCGCCUGCAGCACUGCUACCAGCUCCCCUUCCUCACUCCUGCACAGGUGCUUAUCUGGGACAGCUGGAGCCUUUCUGGGGGAAUGGUCACCUCCAGCUCUUCCUUUCAAGAUUGCCUUUGGGUGUGCCUGAGUGCCAUGAUCAGCAAGGUCUCCACAUAGCCUUUUGAAGCCACCAAGGUGCAAACCAGCUAAUGAUUAAACCUGCUUUCUCAGUUUUACUGCAGGAGAAAUGCUUCUGUGGCAAAGCACCGAGGAGAGUACAAUACUCCUUUCACAUCAAAAGAAUAUGCAGACACCCAAGUAAAAAAAAAAAAACAAAACAACAGUGUGACUGAAAAAUACAAAGGAAAUGGAGCAGACAGUCAAGAAGGAACAAAGACAGCAAGAGGGAAAAGAAAAUCCAAAGCAAGUAAUUGGCAGGGUUAGAAUUCGUUAUUUCUAUUAAUUCCAAAGUUCUUGCUUCCUUCUGCCAGCCUCAUUUGAUUGUUGGGCAACAGGGACAAUUUCUUUGGGUUUUCCUUUAGUUAAAAUGAUUUGUUUAUAAGACAUAUUUUUUGUAAUAAACGUAAGUAUCACUUUGUAAAAACAUUCUUCUUCAGGAAGUAAUAAAGCACUUGCUCAGUUUAAAA